rnacentral:rRNA from 1 species
CACGUAGGGCGCAAGCGUUGUCCGGAAUUAUUGGGCGUAAAGAGCUCGUAGGCGGUCUGUUGCGUCCGCUGUGAAAACUCGGGGCUUAACCCCGAGCCUGCAGUGGAUACGGGCAGACUAGAGGUAGGUAGGGGAGAAUGGAAUUCCCGGUGUAGCGGUGAAAUGCGCAGAUAUCAGGAGGAACACCGGUGGCGAAGGCGGGUCUCUGGGAAGUAACUGACGCUGAGAAGCGAAAGCGUGGGUAGCGAACAGG